GAUUUCCUAUAAAUUUCUUAAAUUUGACCUAUGUCUUCCAUAUGCCUGAAUUACACAUUUCUAGGUUAGUUAUUUGCAUUUGGAGAGUACUUUGAAAGUACUUUAGUAAGACAUUUUGUAAAAUACCAUCAGCUAAUCAGCACAGUCACAAAAAUUUAAAAUAUUAUUAUUGUUGUUUAUUGAUAUUUAAUGUAUUAAUUCAUGUAUUCAUUAUGUUUUACCAAAUGGCAUAUUUUGUUCAAAGGGUGUGUCGAAGACAUAAUAGAUUCAUGUCCAAAUCCAUAAGAGAUGGGUCUAUUUUCUCAGGCUCUCGCUCCUCCUUGACUUCUUGGAUGAUGUUCAUGCAUAGGUUUGCACAAGGGCUAAGACUGAGGCAAGUGGACUUAAUUGAAGAGGGAGUCUGUGGAAGCAGCCGCACUUUGUCCAAGAUGUCCAAGACACUAAGGAGGGUGUGUGUGCAAGCAGUUAAGCACCUGAAGAGGAGGGGGAAAAUGAGAAUAGGUGGAAGACAUGGUUUUGUUGUCAUUGAUGAGAGCAAGUUUUGUCACAAGAGAAAGUAUGCACGCGGGCGAUUUGGUGCUACUUGGCGCAGGAGAGGCUGGGUUUUUGGAUUGUUGGAAGUCAAUCAACGGAGAAGGAGGCCUGUGUUGAAAUUUGUUCGCAGACGAAAUUCUGAAAGACUACUUCCUAUUAUACAGCGAUAUGUUAGACCUGCAAGUACAAUUUUGAGUGACUCUUGGCGUUCCUACUGCAGACUGAGGCAACAUGGGUAUAUACACUACCAAGUCAAUCACCAGAGGUUUUUUGUUCACCCUGCCACAGGAGCACAUACCCAGCAUAUAGAAAGGUCCUGGAGAACCUUUAAGCAAGAGGUGUACCGUUUCAGAGGCAACAUGACUGAGAAGUCACUGAGAGAGAUCCUACAUUUUAUUGAGUGGAACUACUGGCUGGGUAGACAACACAGAAAUGGACCCCUUGGUCGCCUUUUCAAGGAUAUAAGAGCCAUACAUCCAGUACAAUAACAUCACCCCUGUGGCUGGAGCCUUUUUGCAUGGAGUUUGUAUGUUAUCUCCAGAUCUGUGUGGGCUCUCUCUGGCUACUCUGGCUUCCUCCCACAGUCAUGCAUGGGGUUAGAUAAAUUGGUGAUUAGCUCUAGGUCUGACUGUGUAAAUUGACCCUAGUUGUAAAUGUGAAUAGUUCGUCUCGGCAUUAGCCCGAUGACAGACUGGUGACCUGUCCAAUGUGUAGCCCAUCUCCCGCAAAUGACAGCUGAGACAGGGUCCAGCUCCCCUGGAAAAAAUGCAUAGAUGGAUGGCAUUUUGUUUUUGUGUAUUGGACAUUUAAAAUAUGUAUUCCAUUGUCAUCCAGAUAUAAAAUGUGCUGUGACAGAGGAUCUUCUACACUCCUAUGCAAUUUCAAAAACUAUUUUAAAUAGACCUCUUAGCUAUGCUUAAUAUUGUGAUCCUCAAACAAAUACAAUGCAGUUAUUUUCCAGCGAGCUUUUAAUGAGUGUUUUAUGCAUGUUUAUUUUUUUAAAUCUAAUACUUAAUGUUUUUCAAACAGGUAGUUUAGCAUUUUCCAUGUGUUUCCAGUUCAUCAUCAGAACUCUUGACUUUUGUUUUAUUCAGUGAUUAACUUGGCAAUA